UCCCCGUUAGCUUAGUUGGUAGAGCGCCGGUUUCUGGUACCGGACAGCGUGGUUCGAAUCCAUGACGGGGAGCCA
rnacentral:tRNA from 1 species